AGAGUUUGAUCCUGGCUCAGGAUGAACGCUAGCUACAGGCCUAACACAUGCAAGUCGAGGGGCAGCGGGGGCAGAGCUUGCUUUGCCUGCCGGCGACCGGCGCACGGGUGCGUAACGCGUAUCGAACCUCCCCCAUACUCGGGAAUAGCCUUGCGAAAGUAAGAUUAAUGCCCGAUGGUCUCAGAAUAUGACAUCAUGCUUUGAGUAAAGAUUCAUCGGUAUGGGAUGGCGAUGCGUCUGAUUAGAUAGUUGGCGGGGUAACGGCCCACCAAGUCGUCGAUCAGUAGGGGUUCUGAGAGGAAGGUCCCCCACAUUGGAACUGAGACACGGUCCAAACUCCUACGGGAGGCAGCAGUGAGGAAUAUUGGUCAAUGGUCGGAAGACUGAACCAGCCAAGUAGCGUGAAGGAUGACUGCCCUACGGGUUGUAAACUUCUUUUAUGCGGGAAUAAAGUGCCCCACGCGUGGGGUAUUGCAUGUACCGCGUGAAUAAGCAUCGGCUAAUUCCGUGCCAGCAGCCGCGGUAAUACGGAAGAUGCGAGCGUUAUCCGGAUUUAUUGGGUUUAAAGGGUGCGCAGGCGGACCGCUAAGUCAGGGGUGAAAAGUUCGUGCUUAACAUGAAUCGUGCCUUUGAUACUGGCGGACUAGAGUGCGAUAGGCGUGGCCGGAAUGUGGUGUGUAGCGGUGAAAUGCUUAGAUAUGCCACAGAACACCGAUCGAGAAGUCAGGUCACGAGUUCGCAACUGACGCUCAUGCACGAAAGCGUGGGGGUCAAACAGGAUUAGAUACCCUGGUAGUCCACGCAGUAAACGAUGAUAACUUGUUGUCGGCGAUAGAGUGUCGGUGACAAAGCGAAAGCGAUAAGUUAUCCACCUGGGGAGUACGAUCGCAAGGUUGAAACUCAAAGGAAUUGACGGGGGCCCGCACAAGCGGAGGAGCAUGUGGUUUAAUUCGAUGAUACGCGAGGAACCUUACCUGGACUCAAAUGUUGAACGACCGGUCUAGAAAUAGACCUUCCCUUCGGGGCGUUUAGCAAGGUGCUGCAUGGUUGUCGUCAGCUCGUGCCGUGAGGUGUCAGGUUAAGUCCUAUAACGAGCGCAACCCCUACGUCCAGUUGCCAGCGGGUAAAGCCGGGGACUCUGGAGGGACUGCCGGCGCAAGCCGAGAGGAAGGUGGGGAUGACGUCAAAUCAGCACGGCCCUUACGUCCAGGGCGACACACGUGCUACAAUGGCCGGUACAGAGGGCAGCCACCUGGUGACAGGGAGCGAAUCUCGAAAGCCGGUCUCAGUUCGGAUCGGAGUCUGCAACUCGACUCCGUGAAGUUGGAUUCGCUAGUAAUCGCGCAUCAGCCAUGGCGCGGUGAAUACGUUCCCGGGCCUUGCACACACCGCCCGUCA
rnacentral:rRNA from 1 species